CUCUGCUUGGUCCUGUGGGGAGGUCACCGGGGCGGGGAGCGAAAGACUGAGACUAUCCUGGAAGAAACGUGUGUGAAGAGCUAGCUGUGCCUCCUGGGUGCUCAGCAGUUUUGCUUUACUUAAUUGCAGGUUUGAUGAAAGCUUCAAUUCAUGCCUUGGAGACCUCUUUAUGUUUUACAGAGAUCUAUUCAUCUUAUUCUGCUCUAUUGACUAUGCCAAAGCCUUUGACUGUGUGGAUCACAAUAAACUGGAAAAUUCUGAAAGAGAUGGGAAUAUCAGACCACCUGACCUGCCUCUUGAGAAACCUGUAUGCAGGUCAGGAAGCAACAGUUAGAACUGGACAUGGAACAACAGACUGGUUCCAAGUAGGAAAAGGAGUACGUCAAGGCUGUAUAUUGUCACCCUGCUUACUUAACUUAUAUGCAGAGUACAUCAUGAGAAACGCUGGGCUAGAGGAAGCACAAGCUGGAAUCAAGAUUGCUGGGAGAAAUAUCAGUAACCUCAGAUAUGCAGAUGACACCACCCUUAUGGCAGAAAGUGAAGAACUAAAGAGCCUCUUGAUGAAAGUGAAAGAGGAGAGUGAAAAAGUUGGCUUAAAGCUCAACAUUUAGAAAACUAAGAUCAUGGCAUCCGGUCCCAUCACUUCAUGGCAAAUAGAUGGGGAAACAGUGGAAACAGUGGCUGACUUUAUUUUUCUGGGCUCCAAAAUCACUGCAGAUGGUGAUUGCAGCCAUAAAAUUAAAAGACACUUACUCCUUGGAAGGAAAGUUAUGACCAACCUAGACAGCAUAUUAAAAAGCAGAGACAUUACUUUGCCAACAAAGGCCUGUCUAAUCAAGGCUAUGGUUUUUCCAGUGGCCAUGUAUGGAUGCGAGAAUUGGACUAUAAAGAAAGCUGAGCGCCGAAGAAUUGAUGCUUUCGAACUGUGGUGUUGGAGAAGACUCUUGAGAGUCCCUUGGACUGCAAGGAGAUCCAACCAGUCCAUCCUAAAGGAGAUCAGUCCUGGGUGUUCAUUGGAAGGACUGAUGCUGAAGCUGAAACUCCAGUACUUUGGCCACCUGAUGUGAAGAGCUGACUCAUUUGAAAAGACCCUGAUGCUGGGAGGGAUUGGGGGCAGGAGGAGAAGGGGAUGACAGAGGAUGAGAUGGCUGGAUGGCACCACCGACUCGAUGGACAUGGGUUUGGGUGGACUCCGGGAGUUGGUGAUGGACAGGGAGACCUGGUGUGCUGCAGUUCGUGGGGUUGCAGAGUCAGACACGGCUGAGUGACUGAACUGAACUGAACCCUCAAACAUACCUUAAGCAUUCCCACCCCAGGACCUUUGCACGUGCUGUGCUGUUUCCUCUUCCUUUGCCUAAAUAUCCUGUCCCAAAUGCCUGCAUGGCUGAGGCCUCAUAUAACAACCUCAAAUAUUUCCCCUUGUCUUUCAUGUCCCCCUCCCCAGCUGGUCAUGCUGUCAGAUCACCCUGCCCUUUUUUCCUCUAGAGAAUGCUUGUCAAGCCCUGAAGGGAAUCCAUUGGCUUGUUUAUUGUCUGUCUUCAUGCCGCACCCGCCUCCUCCACUGACCUUAGCAGAUUCACUCCAUGAGACUUGGUCGGUUUUGUUUGCUCUAAUCCCAGAGGUGACAGUGGUGCCUGGCACAGAAGUAACACCCAGUAAGGAGGAGAAGGGGACGACAGAGGAUGAGAUGGUUGGAUGGCAUCACCGACGCGAUGGAUAUGAGUUUGAGUAAGCUCCGGGAGUUGGUGAUGGACAGGGAAGCCUGGCGUGCUGUGGUCCAUGGGGUUGCAAAGAGUCGGACACGACUGAGCGACUGAACUGAACUGAUUCAUCUUCGGUUGCACAGUUUGCUCAAAUAAUAUAGAAAGAAAGGCAGUGACUGUAUUUUGAACAUAACUAUUAAUAGUUUGCAAAAAUGUGUGCAGUUGGUUAGAAUUUGGCUCAUUAUCUCCCUACUUGGCAGUUCUAGAUUUUAUAUACAGAAAACCAGACAAGGAAUUCUCAACUUUUGUUUCAGCCCCAAGAUUUCCUGGAAGGACCAUACAUACAAGUCUCAGGCCAGAAAGGACCUCAGCAAUCAUCUGGUUCAACCUUUUCAUUUUACUGAUCAGGAAGCUAAGAGUGAGCAUAACAUGAAAACAGGGUGCUAGUCCCUGACGCUGUUACAGAAUUUUCACUUGCCACUGGUCAAAUUCUUGUCAAGACCUGGGCCAUUAGGCCAACCCCAUUCUCCUCUGCAACCUCCUGCUGAGGCAGCAGGACAAUCACAGGUUAGCAAAAUGCAUCCACCAAAUUUUCUUCUUCCAGAAACACAUCCAGUUUUCCAGGCAAAUGGUGUGUGUUCAAUGCAUUCAUUUUUUUCUCCCCAUUUGAAAAGUUCUUCCUGAUUUCCCAGCUCUAGUGGUCACUGUUCAUAGCCUUGGCCUAUAAUUCUGAGGCUCUGGAAAGGGGCACUUCCUACAGGUAUAUAGGCUUGUGCCUUAGACUGGAUUUCAUUUCUUCAAAUGUCCUCCUUUCCUCUCUGUUGUGAUUUUUUUUUUUCCCCCAAAACAGAAUGGUGGAUGGUUGUCCUUGAGCUAUUCUACUUGUUUUUGUUCUAGCACAGCAAUCCCUCACCAAAGUUAGAAGAAAUAUACAUGACAGUUUAUACUCACAUCUCAUCACUUAUAUACAAAAGGAUUCAGUCCUUCUUGCUUCCUUUUUCUUUUUUGAGGGGGGUGGGGUGGUAUUGGUGGACUCUAAGCUCUGUGAUAUUGUCUUUCUUGGUCAUGCUUGGGCAGUGUCCAGCCCCUAGCAGAUGAACAAAUGGAUGAAUGAAUGGGAACAAUAGUCUAUAAAUGGUUUGUGGCUUAGAAAAUCAACUAUUGACCCCGACAUCAAAUUCUGUAUCUGACAUUAAGACUUGCAUGAUUCCCAAUCUUCAUUGAAAGGUAUUAUGUCCAGAGGCUGAAAUGGGAUUCCCCAGUGCCUUGUUCUAGCCUCGAGAUGUAAUGGAUGGGCUAUGAGUAGACAGCUUCUUAAAAACAAAAGGAAUUUUAGUUCAUUUGACCCAUUCUCAGAGUAACUGUGAAACACAACUAAGAUCAAACAGAGAUAGUGGUAGACCUGGGACCAGAAUUAGCCCUCCUUGUCCCCAUCCCAGUGCUUUUCUUUUAAGACAUCAAACAGUCUUGCCAGUGACCAUCCCUGCGAGGUGAAUUCAAGUUCUGUGACACCAAAGUCCUCUUAGACCUAGAACAGAAAUAGAAUGUAUGUCACGGCCAUACAUGCCAUGACGCUUCCUUUUGGUGCUCAAAGAAGGCUCCACUAACCAUCAGGACACUUUUUUCCAUUGGGUCUGGACAGAACCUCGGGCAGCCAUGACCAACCAGAGUUGGCACUCACAAUGAAACCUACCAGCCACCCUGCUCUAGAGGGCAUCAGGAUUUCAGAAGCCAAUGAACUCUGGUCUUAACCUGUCUUCUCAAGAUGAGCUGAACCUCCCACCUUUUAUCGCUCUUCACAUCCCCAGAGGGCUUAGUGGUGAUGUCUGCAAGCAGGUCUCCACAGCAUGUUUCGGUCAGAGCAGGUGCAGUUACUAGUCAUGACUCCAAGCCAGGCAAGGUGAUUAAGAAAAGCUAAAUUUAUAUUAAAUUAUCAUAAAGUCCUAAAAUACUGAACAUAGUGGUUAAAUAACUCCAGAAAGUCCAAUCUCUCCAGUGAGUAACGUUAAAACCAUUACACGUGAGCGUGGGAGAAUCACUUCCAUUAGUUUAGGACAGAGAGAUUUUGCUUUUUACAUAGUAAAUCAGUGCUCAAAUAGAUAUUUCUUCAAAUAUGUCCUUUCUACAUUCUGAACAGCCCAAGUGCAAUAAGAUCCUUCCCCCUUUCCAUGUGAGAAGAUACGGUUUGGCUACUUUCUCUCCCCAUC